GGGUGUCAUCAUUGCCGAAGAUGACCACUGGACAACGUGGUUCGCCGUCGUAUCCACCAGGAUUAUCGCCCAAACUUGUCAAGAGGGCUCCACCACCAUCGAAGAGCAUACUGAGCAUCGAGGAUCGCCGCUGUAGCGACGAGAUUGUCGGCACGGAGGGCUUCACCACCACCAAAGAGGACGCUGGAGCAUCGAUAUCGUACCGUGGAUGUUUCAGGUACAUCAUUUACUCGUUUAAUUGUGUAUUCAUGUUUUUGUUUUGUAAUUAGAAGGGUUCCAUCACUAGACAACGAGGUUCGCCGUCGGAGCUAAAAGGAUCGUCGCCCAAUAUUGUCAAGUAUUUCAUUGAAAGUUUUACGUCUUACACCAUUAAUUUAUUUUGUUUUUUAUGUGUUUACGAGGGCGCCAUCGUCGCCGAAGAGGAACAUUGGGCAGCGUGGUUCGCCGUGGGAGUCACCGGUAUUGUCACACAAAAUCGUCAGGAGGCCCGCAUCACCAUCUGAGAGGAUGCUGGACAUCGAGGAUCGCCGGUGGAGCAACGAGAUUGUCGCAAUGGAUGUUUCAGGUAUAUUUCUUUACAUGUUUAUUUGCCUAACCAUGUUUUUUUUAUGUAUUUAGGAGGGAUCCGUCGUCGCUGAAUAGGACUACCGGACGUCGUGGAGUGUCGUUGGAGCAACGGAAAUCGCCGCCUAUUCCGUCGGACACGCCCAUUAGGUCGAUGGGGGGAAAAAAAUAGCAAGAAUGAACAACCCGCUGAACAAGAAACCGGUUCGAGCGAUACGGGUUUGUGGGGCUGAUUGGUCUCAGUUUUACUCAACGAAAUGGAUGUGUUGCAACGCUGUCUCAAACGUCUGCACAGGAGUCCUUACCUCAGUUUUUUCUGAGUGCAGAAAGUUAUUCAAACCAAGGAUACAGAAUAUAAAAGACUUGAAGCGAACGGGAAGAUAUAGCAGAAUUAAACACAAUUCACGAGGACUGGCCGCAGGGUUAAAAUGGUACUGAGGUAUAGUUCAGCAUGCGACUAUACAAUACUAAUAUGUAAAGCCUUGACCACAGAAAACAACGGAAUCUUAGAAAUCCUCCUUGAUCGCGGAAUUCAGACCA